AGGGUUUUUAUUUUAUACUUUAAACCUUGAAUUUAUUUUUUAAACGUUUAUAUUAUUUGAAUGUUAUAUUCAAAUAAUAUAAAAAAUAAUAUAUAUAUUGACAUGGAUUAAACAAAGAUAUAUAUUAUUUUAUGUUGUAUAAACAAAUUGGCAAAAUAGAGAUGGAAGAUAAAAAUAUGGUCAAAGUAAUAAGAGUCUAUGGUGAAUGCCUAGGAGCUUUAAGGCGAAGAAGGUCGUGGUAAGCUGCGAAAAGCUUGGGGGAGAAGCAAACAUUUAUUGAUCCCAAGAUUACCGAAUGGAGUAAUCCAGCUAGCAAG
rnacentral:misc_RNA from 1 species